UACAGAGGGUGCAAGCGUUGUUCGGAUUCACUGGGUUUAAAGGGUGCGUAGGCGGGCAGGUAAGUCCGUGGUGAAAUCUCUGAGCUUAACUCAGAAACUGCCAUGGAUACUAUUUGUCUUGAAUAUUGUGGAGGUAAGCGGAAUAUGUCAUGUAGCGGUGAAAUGCUUAGAUAUGACAUAGAACACCAAUUGCGAAGGCAGCUUACUACACAGUUAUUGACGCUGAGGCACGAAAGCGUGGGGAUCAAACAGG
rnacentral:rRNA from 1 species